UCUUUAGGAAACCUAUAUAAGAACCCAAAUUGUGUUGCCAAAAAUGAACGAAAUCCAAAAGGAGUCAAGAAUGGUGGCAAUUUCACUGUACAGAGGGAACCUUCACCGAGUACCGGAAGUGCCUCGCCGAUGGCCUAUGCCAGCUCCCAAAAUCUCUCUCAAAGACUUCAAAUGUCUUCUCGCUCGCCGUUCCAAGGCACUAUCUCGCCUUCAAGCCUCCAACCCUAACCCUAACAACACUCUCCCCAACGACUCCCAUCUUGAACCACCUCCCGACGCCGUUGUCACCGUUGCUCGCGCCGAAGGCCCUUCCGCCGUCUCCCAAGAAGACGACGAUCGCAUAGAACCGCUACUGGUCGCCGUCAGUUCCGCCAAAAAACCGCUCGGCGAAUCGGAUUCGCCUGUCGAUGUAAUGAUUGGUGAGGCUUCCGAGAAAAAACCGUUUGACGGUGCUGAACUUUCGACGGAAAAACAGACUGCGCCGGUCACUGACAAUGCUGAUCUGCCUGACGAAAAGGCGAAAAGGAAAAAGGAAAUCGAGGAGAAGUUGCACGGCUUGAAUGAGAAUAAACAUAACCUGGUGUUGGUGUUGAAACAGAUAUUGAAUGCGGAGGAGGAGUUUAAGAGACGAAAUAGUAUGCAAAUGGCUGGGAUGCGUGGUCCUUCGGGUCCAGUUCAAGGGGAUGGAACCAAUGAUACUGGAUCCAUGAUUAGGCAUAUGCCCCCUAGGUUGGGAUCGGAGGGAAAUCUUGCUGGCGAUGUGGAUGGUGGUGACGGGGAUGAUUUAGCUAACCAUACCAUGCAUUCUCGCCACAUACUUCGGCCAAGUAGCAUGUCACCUUCGUCAGAAUCUCCUCUUCGGAGGACCCCUAGUGUUCAACAAAAUGCGAUUUCGAAUCCUUCUCGAGCAAAUUUGGGAGCUGCUGGAAGUCCAUCACGCUUUGCUCUCUCAGGUCAUCAGGGAAAUCCAGCGAAUCUACCACAAGUGUCAGUGUCAGGAACUAGUUACAUUGCAUCAUCCCCUUCCCCAGCAGCAUCUGGUGGCACUUCUGUUUUCAGAGAUGCUCGACAGCCAAGUCCUUGGAAGUAGAAGAUUGUACCAAGUCUAUUAUGGUAAGCAGUGGAGAGUGUGAUGGUGGCAAUGAGAAAGGGUAACAAGGUUUGACUCCCAGAGAAUUGAAUGACCCAGAGAAUGCAUGUUUGGACUUUAACUAGACAAUAUCUCUUGCUUGAGCUUCAACUUUAGCUCCUGCUUUAAGUUUGGCUUCAACUUUUGUUUUAGGAUAGGAAAGAUGGCUACGAUAAAGGUGAGGUCGUAGAAACGUUGGACAAGAAUUCCCAAUGGUGCAUAGUGUUUUAUGAUAUUACAAAUGAUGGGAAUCAUCUCUAAAAAGUUAUAUGCUCAUGUCGUUGAAGUGCAUCAAACAUAGAUGAUUGAUAGAAAAGGGUUUUUCACGAUCGUCUAGCCUGUUUAAAGGGUUCGUCCAAGGAUGCCUUAUUUAUGAUCGAAAGUCGAGGGGUGGUAGACGUCGAGCAAUCCAUUAUGGGUACCACCAAAAUAUAGUACUUAGGCCAAUGUAUUUUAGAAGCGUACAACUUGGGUUUCAAAGGUAAGAUUGAAUGAAAAAUUGAAAGAGUUUUUUGGAC